rnacentral:rRNA from 1 species
GACAAACGCUGGCGGCAUGCCUAACACAUGCAAGUCGAACGGACAGAACAGGGAAGCUUUUCGGAGUGGAGCUGGAAAGGUAGGGGCGGAUGGGGGGUUAACGCGUGUACAACCUACCUUGUAAAGGGGAAUAACCGCGAGAAAUCGAAGCUAAUACCCCAUAAUAACCUUGCUUCUCAUGAAGUACGGAGGAUAGGCGGCCUUAGCGCUGUCGAUACAAGAUGGGUCCGCGUCUGAUUAGCUAGUUGGUGAGGUAAAGGCUCACCAAGGCGACGAUCAGGAGCCGACCUGAGAGAGUGAACGGCCACAUUGGGACUGAGACACGGCCCAAACUCCUACGGGAGGCAGCAGUGGGGAAUCUUCCGCAAUGGGCGAAAGCCUGACGGAGCAAUGCCGCGUGAGUGACGAAGGCCUUCGGGUUGUAAAAAUCUGUCCUUAGCGAAGAGAGAGUGUUGUAGUAAAUGACAAUACUAGGACGGUAGAUGAGGAGGAAGCCCCGGCUAACUAUGUG